rnacentral:misc_RNA from 1 species
UGCGACGAGAGGCGCGGAAGCGAAACAUGUACUGCCGGUGCUAAGAGGAAGAUCCGUAUUGUUUAAAAAAAGAAACGCUGACGUGUGCUUUUCAGUCUAGCAAUCUAGGCUACGGUUCUGUGCGUCAAGGUAACAACAGCAAGAACGGUUUCCUUUAUGCACGUGCGAGCCUGUGCGCUCCCAGACUAGGCGCGCGACCCACUCUAAAUCAAGGAUCGCAGGUGUUUUGCUGCCGCGCGCUAUGUAUAUGCCAACCGUGCCACAUAUUUCAAACAGCUGCUGUUUAAAUCGCCGCGCGGUGCAGGCCAUGCAACGCGGAACCUGAGCACUGGAAGCAAGACGACACAUCAUCGCUAAGCACCGAUCGUUUCGGAAGCAGGACGACAUGGACACCUUGCUAGAGUCGAUCCUCACCUACGCGUACCUCACCGUCCUGUACUUCUUGCAGGGCGUCCCAUACGGCGUCCAGGACAAACUGUUGCCCCAGCACCUCAGGUCGAGCAGGUUCUCUUACAGCAAGGUCGCGCUCGCUCGGAUCUUGCUCGUACCCUGGCUCUGCAAGCCCCUGUUGGCGUCUUACAUCGAGAAGCGAUGGACCCAGAAGCGCUGGCUCCAGGUCUUCCUCGGCGUCAUGGCAGCGGUUACCUGGCUGUCGUCCUACUUCGGCGACAACGUCUGGUCUUUUGUCGGUACUUUGUUCUUGCUGAACGUGGUCUCGGCGUCGUUCGACAUCUCCGUUGACAUCGUGGCGAUGGACGUGCUUCAAGGGUCCCAGCUGUCCCUAGGAAGCGCCGUUCAGGUGGGGGCCUUCAAAGUGGGCGCCAUAUUUGGAGGAGGCGUUCUCUUCCUGCUGCAACUUCUUGCUGGAGUGACGGGCAUUCUGCGGGGAAUGUCGGUUGUGUACGCCCUCGGACUUUGCAUCGUCACGUUACGGAGUGACCCCGAAAGGCCCGGCCCAAGGUCCGAAGCAGGUCACGCGGAGGAAACUGGGGGAGACGACUUCAAACUCGAAGACGUUCAGUCGCGCGAAGGUUUGCGUCGCCGAAAGGGUGAAUCGGAAAAGCUACUCGAUGGAAGCGAAUCGACUUCACGUGACGCCGAGACUGAUGGACCGAUACCCGGCUCUCUGCAGGAGAGAUUGAAGAGGGCAGUUUCGGUCCACGGCACCCUGGGUCUUGCUGUGUUCUUGAUCUUCUACAAGGCUGGUGAAUACGGCAUCCUGACCACAUACCCUUCAUUUCUACUGGAUCGUGGCUAUUCCUACUUCGUGGUUGGCUUCCUUAAUGGCGGACUGGCGCAAGUUAUAUCCAUCCUAGGAUCUCUCAUCGGUGGUUACAUGGCACGGUCCAGCAGGAGUCACAAGAGCCUUCUUAUGAAGCUGUGCAUCGCUCGUGUUUUGCCUGCGGCCCUCAUAUGCAUCACCAAUACGCGGCUCUUUGGUCGCCCAAAGAAUGUUUAUUUCGGAGUUGCGGGCAUGCUGACGCUCAACCUGGUGAGUGGCAUGAUCACCACCGUGGUCUUCACCAUGAUGAUGAGCAUGUCGCAGACCCUGCAGAGGGGCCUCCGGUCCACUCACUUCUCUUUUCUGUGCACCGUCGAAGUGGUCGGCAAACUGGCCGCCUCCAUUCUGGUUGGUCCGUGCAUCGACGUGGUGGGCAAGACGCCCACCUACUUUGUCAUGACGGCACUUGCUGUAGCCAGUAUUGCCACCACUAGGCUUCUCAAGUGAUAAGUGCUCAUUGAGGGAGCCGUUCGAUUGUUGGAAUCGCUAAAAGUGAUGGGGGGUGCGGGGGUUGAGAUUUAAAUGUUGGACUUGACCAAAUACAGCAGACAAUUAAGCCGAGGAAAGCAUAGGGGACGUUAAUUGCUGUCUUUAACUGCAGCAUAGUAAUUAUGACAUAAAUUGAAAUUAGUUAAAGUGAAUGGAAAAUCACCCUUUCUGUCAGUGGGAUCCGAACUAACUACCUUCGAAUUAUGCGUCCGGAUUCGGUUCUCAUUAACGGAAAGGGUGAUUUUUCGUCCGCUUUAAUUCAUAUCAGUUUAUGUUGUAAUUACUACACUACAGUUAAAGACAACAAUUAAUCGCCCCUAUGCCUUCCUUGGCUUAAUCGUCUGUCGGUUUUCUUUGGUUGUGUCUAACAAAGAACGAGCCACUCAGAAAAAAUUUCCCUUCUACUGUUGGACUUGUUAGAGUAGUUGUAGUGGACAUGCAAGAAUAAUAGAAAAAGUAAAGAUAACUUGAAAACUACCACAGUGGCAGUUUUCACAGAAAUGCACAUGAGGAAAUUUAACUUUUUAUUACAGUGAAUUUUUUUUUGCAAAAGUAGUUAUAUAUUUUACUGGGAGGUGGCACUCUUUCAGUGCAGCUGAAGUGUCCCCCUUCGCUGAUAAGUAUUACUACUUUGACUAUGAAAUUUUCUGUAAUUUUGACGUAUUUUCAUAGAAACUGUGUCUUGCUGCAUCAAUACAUUCUCGGUGAUGAAAUUCUGUUUCAUUUGCUUUUAUGUUUAAAACUCAGCUGUUAAAUACCUUCUAUGGUUUGAAUAAUUAACAAGGUUCUUAGGCAUAAUUGUGUGAUUACUGGGCUGGCCAGGAAAACAAAAACAAAUGCACUUCUUGAUUGUGAAAUUGUGUUUAAUGCUAAAUGAACUGCUAGCAUUUUUUGCAGAUUUUACAUAUAUAUAUAUAUAAGCUGUGUGCUUGUGUCAUAAUGUACUGAGCGAUCUACCUUUUGACGUAAAACACGCGUAUAUUGUUGCACUGAUGAGAAUGAUCAGCUCAUGUUAAUCUCUUCCUGUGACCAGCUGUGCAUUCCAUAGUGUUACAUUGUUGAUGUUAGCUGUUGAAAUGUUAAGUUUUGUUUUAUUUUAUAGAGCAUUCUCAUGCAGUACCGAUUUAAAUUGCUUGCAAAAUAUUUGCACUUCUGUGAAGUUCUCAAACACUUUCUGAUGGACUGUUUUCAUUUGUGUUGCCUAUUACCAGUGCUUCUUGCCAAACAAUAGACAUUGAAAAAUACUGACAUUUUGAGGAUGCUGUUGUUAUGUGGCAAGUUUUUUGUGGAGUUAUCAAAAAUAUCAUGCUGCGUGUAUGGAUCUUGCGUUGUAUUUAUGCGGAAACCCUAGAAGACCGUUUUAAAAAUAAUGUGACCUGUGCUACCAAAGCAUCUUUUUACGUGGUCAUUCACAAGUGCUUUAACUGCUUUAUACGUCUGCACAUUGUUGCGGCAACUUUCCAUGGUCAUUGACAAUCAAUUCACCACUUAUUUGUAAUGCCCAAAAAUUCUUCAGAAGCACCAACAGUACAUACAUAUACUUUCGAUGAGACUAUGUAUAAACUUAAGCAGAAAUGUUAACAUAAAGAUCCGCAGUAGGUGAAUAAGUUUACUUGAUUUCCAUGACAAGAUGCAUAGGUUUAUUUCUUAAUUAAAGAAUUUACUUGCAUUAUGUUCAGUGAAAUCAUUGUGCGUCAAUGGUCUACAAUGGGCUGUUAGUUUAAAAGCUUCAUGAUUAUCUCUUACAGAGUGAUUUCUCGCUGAGUUUAUGACGGCAUGCUCAAUCACAAGAGUAUGAAAUGUAACCCUAUCCUCAGGCCACAGCCUUUCCCAAUUCGUGUUUUGUGUGGCCACGGCUACAGUCCAAAUUCCUUUAACACAGUGUUGCGUAUCGUUUUGAGAGUUGUCGACUUCUGAUCACUUUAAGUGUAUUCCCGUGCCUACUGCCAACACAUUCACUCUUGUUUGUUGAUGACAUGAAAACGUUCAUUUUCAGUGCUCAUAUUUUCCACAGUGUGCACUAAUUGCAUAGCCACUAGUUUUGUAUCUGCGUGCUUUAGUAGGAUGAGCACAAGGUUGUUGUACAGUCUAGGAAAUUCAGUGUGAAAAUGAUAGCACUUCCGAUGGAGUACCGAGUGAAACACUUGUUUUACAUUGUGUAGUGUGCGACUGUGAUUUAACACUCCACAGUGAUAUAACACUCCACUCUCCUUCACUGUGCAUGGGUUCAAAUUCCAAGUUGGACAGGCGAUUUUUAAGGGAACCGUCAACAAAUUUUUAAGAGUGCUAAUGCUUGUGUUAUGAAAGUUUGAUAGCAGAGUGCCUCAGCAUGUAGUUUUACGACCACCAAGCUACGUUUAACCUUCACUAGUACCAACAUUUGAUAGUAGUCAUUGUGUGCAGUGUUUCAUGACAUUCCAUGAUGAUUUAAAAUUAUAGUUCGUCUUCUACCUCUAACAUACGAUUUUGAUUCUAUCAACACCUAGCGCACUCAUAUCCUUUCAGUGUUGGCUUUGAGACACAUCUUGGUUGGUUGUUGGACCCUUUAAAACUUUCAAACAGUAGUGGAUCUGGUUGUCAACAAACAGUUCUGUCGAAUUUUAGUAGUUCUGGGAAGAGCCUGUUACAAGUGCUGCUGUAAGGGGAUAUACUUACGGGCACUGAUGCAAUAGUAAUACGCUACAAUUUCAAUUAAUGUCAGCCUUACAUAUUGAGGCCGUUCUUGUGUGAAACCUGCCACGUGUAUUGUGGAAAAGUGCAUUUUACAAGCAGCUAUUUUUCUUAUUUUUGUAGCCCGAGGACAUAUUGAAUAUAACUGCUGAGGAGUGCUAUGGAUGACAACAGCCCUGUUGAAUAGGCUAAUCAAGUUGCAUUGCAUACAAGAAGUAUAUUACCCCCCCCCCACCCCCACUUGUUUUUUUAGCUGUUAUGUUUCUACAAGGCCAUAGGCCAGAAAUACUGCCUUCUGAAAAUGGUUCCUUUGUGAUGCCGGCAAUCCGUGAAACUCACGAAGAGUGCAAUAUUCCAGAGCUCAUUUAUCCCAAUGUUUAAUAACUGAGAGAUUAUUUUUGUAAGAAAUGCAGCGCUGUUGAGGAUCAAAUUAUAUUGACAGGUGUGGUGGUGAGAGCUUACCAAUGCUUUUUCUUUUGUUGUACCAAAUAUUAUACCUCUUAUAUUAUUUCAUUGUCACUUACGACAGCUAUUUUAGAACACCUGUGGGCAUAUAUACUACGUAUUGUGCGUGUUACAUUGCGUUACAAGUGUCACGUUAGAACGAAGUUGAAGCUACGGAACAUUACUGUAGCACGACUUUGAACAAGCACCACUUGUCAAAGUGCGUUUCUACAGUACUGCCUUAUGAAAUUAUUCCAGUCUUUGUGGCAGCUGAGUGAGCAGCACAUAUCUGCCUAAAAAAUUUUACCUUAUAGUGUGUACACACCUUGAAGGCAAACUGCAGCAAACCUUCGUUGGCUAAGGUCGUUAUGAGCGAGUAAUGUGUAAUGAGCAAUCGUGGCAAGGCCUCAAGGCUGGUAAUUCUGUAGUUUUCUCGUUAGCAGACUUCAAACUGCACCUAAGUAAAUAACAUAUCCAUUUGUUGGUUGUGACUACGAUGCAAGUCCAUGCAUGCCACCAGCUGUUUAUGUGCUGCUUUAUACAGAAGGCCGUGCUAAGGAGCCGGGCCUUCUGGGUUGUGUCCUUGUCAUGCGUCGCUCAUGGGAAGCUGUAACGGCCGAGUCUUUUUUUAGUUUUUGGGGUCAAAUAUUGCUGAGCGAGCUUUUUGCGAUGCUCCCACUCAUAUUUCAGAUGUCAAAUUCUGCUCGGAGAUACUACCUGAAACUGGGCUUUAUACGUGGUCUACAAGUUUGUUGCAGUUGGUCUCCGAGGGUGCGCUUACUCACCUGACUUCCUGCAACUUAGAUGCAUGGAAACUGAUCAACCUAGAGGACAGCAAGACUGGGGUUUCCGUCUCAAUAAAGCUGGACAAAUGCUGCAGGGCAAAAGAAAAGCAUGCAGGAAUUGUCCUUGAAUCCCAUCUUUUUGAUGGCUUGGAUAUGUCCUGCCUGAACAUAUCCUUGUACCAAAUCUUUCGCUGUUAUGCAGUGCGUGUAAUGUGAACUGUCGCCUUAGUCAUCAACCUUGCUGUCCUUGCUUUUACAAUGGCCGACUACGUUAUUAACUCCCAACUUGCUCAGAAAACUACAUUCUUUUGAGUUAUUAUCUAGUCAUGUGACUGCUAUGCCAAAGGCUUAGGAACCUCAGAAACUGCGACCAGUAGGCCAAAGGGAUGUGCACUCUGUAGACCAGCAGCGCAUAAGCAAAGUGCCUAUUAUAUGAAAGGAGGAUGCCUUUUUAUGGAGUAAUGUAUUGUUACACAAUUCUAAGCCUUGCGAGCAUUUAAUUUCUUUAGCACCUUGCAUGCAGUACUUUCCUGUUGGGAGCAGUGUGCCCUUCAGAGCAUCCCAUACUGUUCCUGAUAGAACAGUAUAGUGCACUGAGUGGUGAAGAAAGUAACCGUAUGCUAAAUUGAUUAUGACCGUCAUUUGGAAUGAUGUGACAUCAUACUCUAAGCAUGACAUGUUUCACGACAUCACACCCUUUAGUGUUAUGUCUUGAAACAAUAUCAUCUGUGUGCAAGCUGCUUUCUUGUUAAGGGUGUCAUGGGAUGCCAAGAUACGUUUCGAACAAAAACGUGCUGUUCACAUGUUCUGAAAUGCACUUAAAAUUGAAGUUUACAGACAAAAUUACACCAUAAAAUGUAAACUAUGUGCACACUAUGUACAAUCUCGACUAUCAAGUGUGUUAGCUUGGCAGAACAUCGUCAUGAGGCCAAAGAAAAAAAAAACAAUUGCUUUCUCUUUCUGUAUGUUGCUGGUAAGUGUUUCGUGAGGAGUUUUCUACAGUUGGAAAAUUGUGGUUACGCUGUUUGUAAAUGUCAGUUUCUGAGGAGCAUUAAAUGCACCAGUUCGAACAAAUUGAGAGAGACGUACUCCACUAGUGGAAUACUUGAUCUAGAUAGCUGCUUGCCAGCUGUCAGUUGUGUUCUUUCGGAGAUGUGUUGCAAUAUUUUACCACGAAUCGUUUUUUUAUAGCAUGCAUGUAUCAAAUCCUGGGUCUUAGUUUUGGAAAUAAAGUUUUUCUCACUGAA